UCAUCCACAUCUCCGAGACAGUCGGCUGAAGUUGUGAAACCAUGUUGAAGGUUGUAUUUCUGCUUGGAUGCCUGCUGAGCCUUGCUCUGGCAAAUCCUACUGACUCGGAACAUGAUCGCGUUGCACGUUCUUCUUCUUCUGAGAGGAAUCCUGGAAUUGCUACCAGUCCUCUUGCCGCACUCCUUCCUCUUCUGCUCCAGAAUCCAACGCUCCUUAC